AUUGAACGCUGGCGGCAUGCCUUACACAUGCAAGUCGAACGGUAACGCGCCUCCGGUUUGCGACUAGUGGCGACGGGGUGAGUAAUACAUCGGAACGUGCCCGAUCCUUGUGUUUCACUAUGCGUAAGCUUUGCUAAUACCGCAUACGAUCUACUGAUCAAUGCAGGGGACUGCAGGGCCUUGCGCGGACGUUGCGGCCGAUGGCAGCUUAUUUAGUUGGUGGUAUAAGAGUUUACCAAGACGACGAUCUGUAGCUGGUCUGAGAGGAUGAUCAGCCACACUGGGACUGAGACACGGCCCAGAAUACUAAGGGAGGCAGCAGAGGGGAAUGGUGGGCAAUGGGCGAAAGCAUGAUCCAGCCAUGCCGAGUGCGGGAUGAAGGCCUUCGGGUUGUAAAGAGCUUUUGUAGGGAAAGAAAGGCUUUCGUUUAAGACAGGAGGGGAAUGACGGUACCGGAAGAAGAAGCACCGGCUAACUACGUG
rnacentral:rRNA from 1 species